rnacentral:rRNA from 1 species
UGACAGUACUCCUACGGGAGCAGCAGUCGGGGAAUAUUGCACAAUGGGCGCAAGCCUGAUGCAGCAACGCCGCGUGAGCGAUGAAGGCCUUCGGGUCGUAAAGCUCUGUCCUCAAGGAAGAAUAAAUGACGGUACUUGAGGAGGAAGCCCCGGCUAACUACGUGCCAGCAGCCGCGGUAAUACGUAGGGGGCAAGCGUUAUCCGGAAUCACUGGGCGUAAAGGGUGCGUAGGCGGUUUUCAAGUCAGAAGUGAAAGGCUAUGGCUCAACCAUAGUAAGCUUUUGAAACUGUUAAACUUGAGUGCAGGAGAGGAAAGUGGAAUUCCUAGUGUAGAGGUGAAAUUCGUAGAUAUUAGGAGGAACACCAGUGGCGAAGGCGACUUUCUGGACUGUAACUGACGCUGAGGCACGAAAGCGUGGGGAGCGAACAGGAUUAGAUACCCUGGUAG